rnacentral:rRNA from 1 species
UACGUAGGGCGCAAGCGUUGUCCGGAAUUAUUGGGCGUAAAGAGCUCGUAGGCGGUUUGGCAAGUCGGGUGUGAAAACUCCGGGCUCAACUCGGAGACGCCACUCGAUACUGCCAUGACUCGAGUCCGGUAGGGGAGUGCGGAAUUCCUGGUGUAGCGGUGAAAUGCGCAGAUAUCAGGAGGAACACCGGUGGCGAAGGCGGCACUCUGGGCCGGUACUGACGCUGAGGAGCGAAAGCGUGGGGAGCGAACAGG